rnacentral:rRNA from 1 species
AGAGUUUGAUCCUGGCUCAGGAUAAACGCUGGCGGCGUGCCUAACACAUGCAAGUCGAACGAAGAGGUUUCCUUCGGGAGAUACUUCAGUGGCGAAUGGGUGAGUAACACGUAGGUGACCUGCCCCGAAGCAGGGGAUAACGGCUCGAAAGGGCCGCUAAUACCCAAAAUGGUUGCGGUUCAAAUCGUAAUCAGAGUUAUGGCGUUUCGGGAGGGGCCUGCGGCCCAUCAGCUUGUUGGUGGGGUAAUGGCCUACCAAGGCGAUGACGGGUAGGGGGUCUGAGAGGGUGGUCCCCCACACUGGCACUGACACACGGGCCAGACUCCUACGGGAGGCAGCAGUGAGGAAUAUUGCACAAUGGGCGAAAGCCUGAUGCAGCAACGCCGCGUGGGUGAUGAAGGCCUUCGGGUCGUAAAACCCUUUUCAGGGGAAAGAGAGAGGACGGUACCCCUGGAAUAAGGUUCGGCUAACUACGUGCCAGCAGCCGCGGUAAAACGUAGGAACCGAGCGUUAUCCGGAUUUACUGGGCGUAAAGCGCCUGCAGGCGGUUUUGUAAGUUGGGUGUGAAAUCUCUCGGCUUAACUGAGAGGUGCCAUUCAAUACUGCAAAGCUUGAGGGCAGAAGAGGGAAGUGGAAUUCCCGGUGUAGUGGUGAAAUGCGUAGAUAUCGGGAGGAACACCAGUGGCGAAGGCGGCUUCCUGGUCUGCUCCUGACGCUAAGAGGCGAAAGCUAGGGGAGCGAACGGGAUUAGAAACCCCGGUAGUCCUAGCUGUAAACGAUGGACGCUAGGUGUAGGUGGUCCUAACCCCAUCUGUGCCGAAGCUAACGCGUUAAGCGUCCCGCCUGGGGACUACGAUCGCAAGGUUAAAACUCAAAGGAAUUGACGGGGCCCCGCACAAGCAGCGGAGCGUGUGGUUUAAUUCGAUCUACACGAAGAACCUUACCCGGGUUUGACAUGCAGGUGGUAGUGAAGCGAAAGUGGAUCGACCCUUCGGGGAGCCUGUACAGGUGCUGCAUGGCUGUCGUCAGCUCGUGCCGUGAGGUGUUGGGUUAAGUCCCCUAACGAGCGCAACCCUCGCCGUCAGUUAUAAGUGUCUGGCGGGACUGCCGGUCUCAAACCGGAGGAAGGUGGGGAUGACGUCAAGUCAGCAUGGCCUUUAUAUCCGGGGCUACACACACGCUACAAUGGCCAGUACAAUGGGUUGCCAACCCGCGAGGGGGAGCCAAUCCCAUAAAGCUGGUCUCAGUUCGGAUUGGAGGCUGCAACCCGCCUCCAUGAAGCCGGAGUUGCUAGUAAACGCGCGUCAGCCAUAGUGCGUUGAAUACGUUCCCGGGGCUUGUACACACCGCCCGUCACGUCAUGGGAGCUGGCAACACCUGAAGCCGGUGGGCUAACCGCAAGGAAGCAGCCGUCUAAGGUGGGGCUGGUGACUGGGACGAAGUCGUAACAAGGUA